rnacentral:tRNA from 1 species
CGGGGUGUAGCUCAGUUUGGCUAGAGCGCUUGGUUCGGGAUCAAGAGGUCGAAGGUUCAAAUCCUUUCACCCCGA